ensembl:lncRNA
GGAAACCACGUCACACACAGGAAACCAGGUUAGACGGGAAACCACGUCACAGGAAACCACGUCACGGGAAACCACGUCACACGGAAACCACAUCACAGGAAACCACGUCACACGGGAAACCACUCACACGGGAACCACGUCACAGGAAACCACGUCACACACAGGAAACCACGUCACAGGAAACCACGUCAGACAGGAAACCACGUCACAGGAAACCACGUCACACGGGAACCACGUCAGACAGGAAACCACGUUCACAGGAAACCACGUCACAGGAAACCACGUCACACGGGAACCACGUCACAGGAAACCACGUCACAGAAACCACGUCAGACAGGAAACCACGUCACAGGAAACCACGUCACACACAGGAAACACGUCACAGGAAACCACGUCAGACAGGAAACCACGUCACAGGAAACCACGUCACAGAAACCACGUCAGACAGGAAACCACGUCACAGGAAACCACGUCACAGGAAACCACGUCACACACAGGAAACCACGUCACACACAGGAAACCACGUCACGGAAACCACGUUCACACACAGGAAACCACGUCACACACAGGAAACCCACGUCACGGGAAACCACGUCACACACAGGAAACCACGUCACGGGAAACCACGUCACACACCAGGAAACCACGUCACACACAGGAAACCAG